AACGAACGCUGGCGGCAGGCUUAACACAUGCAAGUCGAACGCCCCGCAAGGGGAGUGGCAGACGGGUGAGUAACGCGUGGGAACAUACCCUUUUCUACGGAAUAGCUCUGGGAAACUGGAAUUAAUACCGUAUACGCCCUACGGGGGAAAGAUUUAUCGGGGAAGGAUUGGCCCGCGUGGGAUUAGCUAGUUGGUGGGGUAAAGGCCUACCAAGGCGACGAUCCAUAGCUGGUCUGAGAGGAUGAUCAGCCACAUUGGGACUGAGACACGGCCCAAACUCCUACGGGAGGCAGCAGUGGGGAAUAGUAGACAAUGGGCGCAAGCCUGAUCCAGCCAUGCCGCGUGAGUGAUGAAGGCCUUAGAGUUGUAAAGCUCUUUCACCGAUGAAGAUAAUGACGGUAGUCGGAGAAGAAGCCCCGGCUAACUUCGUG
rnacentral:rRNA from 1 species